GGGGAAUGAAAAUAGAGAUUGGUUGCGAGUGUCAGACGCAGGUUGAGACUGCGUUGUAUCUCUGUGUUCGCGAGUUCGGAUGCGUUCAACUUACUCAUUCAAGAGCAACGAAUUCCAUGCAUAUAUCUGUUUCUUCACUACCACGAACUGCUGUGCAAUAUACGCAGUGCAUAUAUACAGCUGGAAACAUUGCUGGAAAACAUAGUUCGACGUUUCAAUUCCCCUGCUCCGGUUCUAGUGUUGGAGCUUCUAAACACCAUGUGCAUGCGCAACAAUGACAAAUUGCUCGACAUCGAGCGGGCGCAGAGCCCAAGUCGUUUAGUACAUCAUAAUAUCCAAGUUUGGCACAGACUAUCGAAGCGACGGUAGAAUGCUUUUCCUUCGGGUGUUGUGUUGUGGCAAGAUGGCUUGCUCUUCGAUUUGUCGCUGAUUGCGAGUAGCAAACAAACCGUCAACAUGAACAAUGGUGGAGAUAUGACAAUAUGGAAUAAUGGGAGUUAUCGACUGAGAGUUCUCUGUUCUGAACCUUUUGUGCUCACUAUAAGCAGGUCAGAUUUCCACACCGUGUAACGGUUCUGCUGAAUGUAACAAUCCACAUCGGGCUGUACCCCACUCCGUCUGUAACUUUCCACCCUUUCUGGUAAUUCCAGUUUACGGUUUCUCGUAUGACAAUGUGAAAAAGCCCAAACCUCUGGAAACUUCUUCCAUGUUCCAACCACCUCCUAACCGAUAUGACUCUCUUCUGGGCUGAACUACGCAGCUCGUCCGGUGUUAUCAGUUUUCGUCAACAUUCCUCACAACCCUUUAUUUUACCGUUAUACCGAUAAUCGCAAAACGCAUGUGAUGAGAGACAACGAUAUGAUAUGGCUCUCUUGUAUAUACAUCCACUGUUGGGUAGAACGUUGUCCCCAAGCGGGUACCUAGUACGCUCAUAAAGCACAAGUACCGCGCGGUGUUAUAAUUUGCCAUUGUUCGUCAGUAUAAUAAAUGUAAUUUGGAGAAAUAUUAGAACGGCAGGGGAUUGUAAGCGAAGGAAAGAGGAUGAAGAACGCAUACCUACACACAGAGCGAGACUCUGAACGUAAACCCUGAUAUGGGUACGAACUAAGGGAGUGCCAGAGUAAAAGAUACUCCCAGUGAAUUGACCAGACUGUCCAAGAUGGGCGGUAGAUAAGAUACGCUAUACGUAAUUCAACAUAGAAAGUACGCACGUGUAAUAUGUAGUCCCUGAAUCUAGUUGAGGGUACGAGGGUCGCGUUGGUAGUUUCGUGUAAGCAGUAUUGCAGAGGCGCGUGAGGGGUUUCGGCCGGCAAGCUGGUUAAGCGGGAAAGGUGUUAUGUUGCAGCGACAGUAAUGUAUACAUUCAGAUCCAUAUAGAUAUAAAAGCUCGAAGGCUGUGGCAUAGCAGAGCGCCUGAGGUGGACGUGCUCGAACAAUACCUUAUCGAGCAACAUUGUCUACGACACAAGGUUUCAGAGAGCCGGAGUGACGAAGGUGGUUAACGUAGUAUAUACACGAACUCGUAGCGAAACCAGCACGUCUACGUGCAUCAAGUCUCAUAUGCGUAUCAGAGGGAACUUGAAUUAUAUAUGUAGUGUAUACCUCGGAGGAAACUCGCGAAUGACACAGAGCUCACGCGUCGAAACUAUGCAUCCCGACUGCAUGACGUUGGGACGGAUAAUUCAAGGUGACAGACCACCUCUUAGGUAGGGAAGAAUGGAUCUCGAAGCAAAGAAGCCGAUACUUUGAGUGGUUGAAGAGUACGAACACGAAAUAUAUCAAAAUAUCGGACUUUACUGUAUGCGGUUUUAUCUUCUCUGAUAGUACGGUUCUAUGGAUAAAAGGAAGACUGCCGGGAUACAGCCUGAGGAGGUACUUCGUGGCUUCGUGGUUGUACUGGGAAUAAGAGCAACGCAGAAGAUGGUCAGAAGGUCCGGGCAGGCAACUACGGAGAUGAAAAUUCUAUGAAAUACUCGAAGCGGGUCAACGCUAAACUUUAUUCUAUCCUCGAUACUGUCAAAGGCAAUGACAGUCCAGGAAUCACCAUAAAUCAGUUUGGCCUCCUGUAAGGUAAACGCGUUUCUAUACGAUUGAACUAUAAAACUCGUAUAAGCGUGAGGUGUACAAGGAGAAGCUGUGCACUAUGUACCCUCGUGUAUACGUCACUAUUACUACCACUAUGCUUCUUCCACUGCUGUUCAUCGACGGUGAAGAGGGUUAACAACUUGAUACCAAACGGACAUGGCACGGGAAACGCACCGGUUGUACGCAAGAGUAAACCAAUCCUUGAACAUGCGUGUGAGAAUUUGUUACGAAGUGUCGCUAGCGAAUCGAAUAGAACUGUCAAGUGCGUGGACAACGAGCUUAACUUUACUAAACUGUUUCGAAAGCUCACUUUGUCUGGAUACCGAACAUGUAAGUCUGAAUAAUCAACAAAAAAGGCCCAAUUUUAAGAAUUUUUUUAGACGCUACAGGUAAUAACAAAUCAAUUUUAUUGAUUGUGACAUCGUAUGACAGUAUAUGAGCAAUAUUUUCCGGAAUUUUUAAAACCCACACAUCAAUAAUUAACUCGACGGUAGCAAAUCUUCAGAAACACUUCAGAAAAAAGUUGUCAGUCGGUGAACAAUAUAAAUCGAAAUCUGCUCAACCGAUCCUUUUGAAAUUUGGCAUGGUAUUUCUUUACACAAUUAAAGAGGUAUCUACGAGAGGAUAUUUUU
rnacentral:lncRNA from 1 species